rnacentral:lncRNA from 1 species
UCGUCAUUGUAGACAAUUUCUAAUUUGAAUUAACAAAGUUUUGAAUGAAAACCGUCGUCGGCUAUCGAUCGUCAUGGUAGACAUUUUCUGAGGAGUUGCAGAAUUGCGUUUAAUUUUUCAUCUUUAAGUAAAGCAGCGGUGACAAAGGUGUUUAAUAUCGUCUGUGACUUAAUUAGAACUAAACAGUCUUAACGGAUAUUUGUUUGUGUGUUUUACUACAGCUGCAGAAUAAUGGCCUAGAUAACUGUGCCCAUGAUGCUAGACAACCUGCCAGUUAUCAGAACUAAUCUGAUAAACUUGUACGUUAAUUAAAGCCACAGGAAGGAGGAGCCCAUUAUGAUAAUGACCUGAAUAGUGGUUUAGGAGAAGGAUUGAGUUUUGUUUUAUUUAUUAUAAAAUAAUAUAGUGCGAAGACGUUAUCAAGGAAAUGAUCCAUGUAGGAGUUACCGAGCGCAGGUGAUAGGGUCAACGUUUCAUCAAGGCUGGAAGCACAAGAACUGUUUAGUUUGGCAGUGGUGAACGAAGAUUAGGUUGUUCAAAAUGCCCAGCGUUCCAGACGCCAAGUAGUAUGCCAACAUGGACGUCUUUAGUCAGACCGACGCCAUGGACAGAAGCAGUCAGUGACGAAUGGGUUGUGUUUGAACAUGGAAUAAGAUGGGCUUCCCUGUUACUAAUGAGCCUUAGCCCCCUCUAACGGCAAAGGAAAUACUGAUGGUGAGAUAGACGACAAAGGUGACCCUCGAGUGUACGAAAGUAAGGUUAACGUGAUCAGAACGACCCUUCGUUUGCCGGCAGCAAACUUUAAAGAGAGAUUAGCUUCGGGAGGCUUACUGACGACACCGCUGAAAAGCGGGUCUCUGGACACGAUUCGAUUCUGUGAUGGUAUUCAAACAUCUUUCGGCAAUUCACCAUCCUCGGGCGUGAAUAAGCAGUCACGCAAGCCUUUCGCUUUCUGAACGACUUCAGAGGUGAGGUCAUUCGCGUAGAAAGUUUGUGCUUAGUGGGUUCCCACUCAGCUUUUUAUGGGAGGAAAAAAACAGAGAGAUCCCUCUGAGCUCUUACAGUCUGACACAAGUGGAUCUGAAACUUUCUGCCAUAAAAAAGAAAAGAGUUUCGGCUUUACACCAAGGAAAAUGUGGACAAACACUCUCGAUAAUUCCAUGUCAGUUAACAUAAUGUAGUAUCAAAAGAAGGUUAAAGAUAAUACUUUAAUCCAUAUUCAACAGUUUGUAUUAUCAAAGAUAAAGUUAUUUAAAAUACUGGCUAAACAUCCCAGAUUACUGUUGAGCCAGGCAGUGAUUGUAUAACGUCAUAAAACCACUCACUGCCUCACAUUCCACAUCUACGUUAUGAUCAAGAACUAAACUGGGACGCUGAGAGAAAAAUGUAAAAGCAUUAUACCUGUUAAGAAGCUACGACAAGUCAGACCUACCAAUUCAAGCUAGCCACUUUAUCAUAAAACUUUAUGAAAGGUGAGAGGAAUUUUGAAAAGGAAGUCAAGGCUUCUGAGUCAAUGGCAGUUAUCACAGUUUCCAACAUUUAAAAAAUAUAUAACUAAGAGCUUAUACACAGAAACUGAAAAUAUUUGCAGGCUUACAAUAAAACUCGCUGAGUCGUCUAUAUGAAUUAUCAGAAAAAAUCCCCCUCCAACCCCUACACUCAAACACACAUUCACAAGCAUCAAAAUGAUAGCUAUUUGGCAUUUAGCCAGAAACUCUGUCAGAUGUAGGUCUACAUCUUCUUUAACUAAAACAAAACAAAAACCAAAACAGCUGUUCCUUUUGAAACACUCAAGCCUUUUAACAUGCAACUACAAGAAUGAUAAAUCUGUAUCUCAGUUCGAAAUUGAAGAGUACUGGACUAGCUAGUCCAGACUACCAUACCAUAGGGAUAUGUUGAAUUUACUUUUAUGUGCUUUAUUGUGUAUCAUAAAAAUAUGUUGUAACAUUGUUACAUAAAUAACUGUUGCUUCAAACUUAUAAACUUUCGGGUAAGUAUGAGCUUUAAGGUAUAUCUUUCAAAAAUCACAUCUCUAAUUAAUAUUUACAUAACUUAUAUAUAUAUUAUGUGUAUGCAUAAUUAAGGUUAUUUUAACUUUAAUUCCUUAAGUGUUUAGGUACAUAUCAAAAUAAGCCAAUUAUUAUCAAUACUGAGAUAUUCACCUAUAGUGGUCUUACACAUCUGAGAUGGCAAUGUUAAAGUGUUUUAUGUUUUUGUUUUAGCGCAAAGCUGCAGUAUAGGCUAUCUGCGCUGUGACCGUCACCCAGAAUUCUAGCACUGCAAGCCUUCCUGGUGGAACAAAAAAAGUAAAAGUCAAACUAUCUCUCGCAGAGGUUAAAGUUCUUACCUCUGACGACUCAAAGUUGCUUACUCUUCCCAGCUGUUAAAAAUAAAUAAAAUAAAAACAAAUACGCGACAAUAUUAUCUACGUACGUUAGAUAUUCGUUUUGUCAGUUCUCAUUUAAAGCUACAAUAGCAUCUUUGAUAAAGUCACAAUUUUCUUAAUCUUUGCAGUUAUCUUACAUUCACAGAUUUAUUGAGUUCUAUGUUUGUUUGUUUGUU